CUGAAACAUCUAAGUACCCCGAGGAAAAGAAAUCAACCGAGAUUCCGAAAGUAGCGGCGAGCGAAAUUGGACUAGCCCUUAAGCUUUACACGCGUUAGACGAACGGUCUGGAAAGUCCGACGAUACAGGGUGAUAGUCCCGUAGUUGACGACGUGUGUUCAGUGAAAUCGAGUAGGGCGGGACACGUGAUAUCCUGUCUGAAUAUGGGGGGACCAUCCUCCAAGGCUAAAUACUACUGACUGACCGAUAGUGAACCAGUACCGUGAGGGAAAGGCGAAAAGAACCCCUGUGAGGGGAGUGAAAUAGAACCUGAAACCGUGUACGUACAAGCAGUAGGAGCAGGCUUUGUCCUGUGACUGCGUACCUUUUGUAUAAUGGGUCAGCGACUUAUAUUCAGUGGCAAGGUUAACCAUCUAGGGGAGCCGUAGGGAAACCGAGUCUUAACUGGGCGUUCAGUCUCUGGAUAUAGACCCGAAACCAGGUGAUCUAGCCAUGGGCAGGUUGAAGGUUGAGUAACAUCAACUGGAGGACCGAACCGACUAAUGUUGAAAAAUUAGCGGAUGACUUGUGGCUAGGGGUGAAAGGCCAAUCAAACCUGGAGAUAGCUGGUUCUCCCCGAAAGCUAUUUAGGUAGCGCCUCGGACGAAUACUACUGGGGGUAGAGCACUGUUAAGGCUAGGGGGUCAUCCCGACUUACCAACCCUUUGCAAACUCCGAAUACCAGUAAGUACUAUCCGGGAGACACACGGCGGGUGCUAACGUCCGUCGUGGAGAGGGAAACAACCCAGACCGCCAGCUAAGGUCCCAAAUUACUACUAAGUGGGAAACGAUGUGGGAAGGCUCAGACAGCCAGGAUGUUGGCUUAGAAGCAGCCAUCAUUUAAAGAAAGCGUAAUAGCUCACUGGUCGAGUCGGCCUGCGCGGAAGAUGUAACGGGGCUAAGUAGUAAACCGAAGCUGCGGCAAUGUGCUUUUGCACAUUGGGUAGGGGAGCGUUCUGUAAGCGGUUGAAGGUGUGUGGUAACGCAUGCUGGACGUAUCAGAAGUGCGAAUGCUGACAUGAGUAACGAUAAAGGGGGUGAAAAACCUCCUCGCCGGAAGACCAAGGGUUCCUGUCCAACGUUAAUCGGGGCAGGGUAAGUCGACCCCUAAGGCGAGGCCGAAAGGCGUAGUCGAUGGGAAACGGGUUAAUAUUCCCGUACUUCUUACAAUUGCGAUGGGGGGACGGAGAAGGCUAGGUGGGCCUGGCGACGGUUGUCCAGGUUCAAGUGCGUAGGCUUAAGAGUUAGGUAAAUCCGGCUCUUUUUAAGGCUGAGACACGACGUCGAGCAUCUACGGAUGUGAAGUCAUUGAUGCCAUGCUUCCAGGAAAAGCCUCUAAGCUUC
rnacentral:rRNA from 1 species